ensembl:lncRNA
GUUUGUAUGGCGAUUCAAAAUGAGCUACUGUGAACAGCAGCUCCCUGGGUGUCCAUGUCUCAUGGGGGGUCCAGAUGGCUCCAGCGUACAUGGGUGUCCUUGUCUUUUCUCUCCGAAUCCUUUAUCUUUGCUUCUUCUUCAGAUGUCUUCACCUCUCUCUCCUUUUUAAAUAUUGAAAUAAAUAAGUAUUUUUUUGUCUGUGCAAGGUCCUAGUUGCGGCAUGUGGGAUCUUUAAUUGCAGCAUGCAAGAUCUAGUUCCCUGACCAGGGAUAGAACCCAGGUCCCCUGCACUGGGAGGGGAAGUCUUAGCCACUGGACCAGCAGGGAAGUCUGCAGGUGAACAGGGUAAGAAGUGGAAAACACCCCAGGCCGAGGCAGCGCCUGCAGCUUGCUUUGUUUUGUUUUGAAAUUGCUUGAGAGAAAUCUUCCUUGUACCUCCUAAGCUGCCUGUCAUAUGUGAAAAGCCGGAACGGGACUCUUAAGAUUCUAUAAAUGAAUUCGUUUUGGAACACAGGGUUCUCUGCUGGGCGGGAAGGAACUGUAGCGAUCACCGGGUCCAGCAUGUCACUUGCAGAGAGGCCCGUGAGCUGGACCUGGCAGCCGUAGGCCACUCUAACCUCUGCCGCAUGGCUCUCUCACACUCUCCCAAGCACUCCAGGCUCAGCUGAACAGCUCACACUUGUUUUCGGCAGCGUGAAACUCAACUCGAUGCAUCAAUACACAAUCGAUAGCUUCAGAGCUGGGCCCAGGUGAGCCCUCCCCAGACUUCCCUGGCCUCUCUGCUGAGCCCCAGCCAGUCCCAAGCAUCAGCCCUAGGUCAGGAUGGUACCUGCCCUCCAGUCUUUAUCCCCGGAGCUCCUUCAGAAGAUAGGUGCUGUCGUCCCUGCUUUUCAAUAUGGACAUCAAGGCUGGGAGAGGUUAGUGUGUCUUGGGUCCACAGCUGGGAAAUGAGGCUGACCACAGCCCAGGACUGACUGGCUGGGUGCUUCAGUGUCAUCAGCUUCCUAGGUUGUGGGAAAGAGUAAGAAAAAGCAAGCACAAAGUCUAGCCCAGUGUCUUGUACACAGUGGGCGCUUUCAGAAAGCUCAGUCCCAUCCCUGUGAUGUCUUCUCUGAGUCCUCCUUCAUCAUCAGUUAAACCUGAUGGAAACAGGGUCUAUAACAUGCAGAUUUAUUACCAUUUGGUUUACCUAAGUAACCUGUCCUUCAGAGGGACUUGGUAACCCAGCGAAUGAAUUUCAAACUAUCUGGCACUUGAGUGGGUGGAGGAUAGUACUUUGCAACUGAGAGCCCAAGAAGCUGUUAAACACUUAAAAUGUACAGGGAGGAAUUGUUCAUCCUAUCCCAUCUCCUAGCCAGGGAAGAAUACAUGUAUCUUCUCUCUCCAUCUCAAGCAGCCUUGUUUGAGCAAAGUUCUUGAUAUAAUUUCUUGACCCCUCCCAACCAGUCUCCCUAGACAUAUUUUUGGAGGCUUCCUAUUGAAUAAUUAAGCAGCACAACUUGGCAUAUAAGACAGUUUGAGUGAAG